GUAUCUUUUCAUUGGAAACUUUUAGGAAGCCUAAAGAAAAGCAGAAUAUUUCUUAGAUAGAUGUGUAACAAUUUUUGGCAAAAGGGCUUGACAUUAAAUGAUCAAAUACUAUAAAAUUUUGGAAAGAAUUUGUCCCACUUCAUCAUUCACCUUUCAGAAAAGAACCUGGGACUAUCGGACUUCCGUAAGAAUUACAGAGAACAGGUGGACUGUUUUGCAAGGGUGAUGCUCUCCCAUUCUCUCCUCUCAAUGUGAACUCUCUCUUCUGUCGGCCCUGUUGCACCUCCAGCCUCAUCCUGAGGAAAACUUCCAGGCAGCCUCGAUUUCAACAGAAGACCUCAAACUAAAUUUGACAGUGUCAAGUGAGAAACACUGAGGAAAUGUUAUCGGUGGGGCCUUCAAGAACGGAGAUGAAGUUUUCGAGAAGAGGAACUACAGAGGAGAAAUACUGUAACAAGCACGUGUCUAGAGACUUUCACAGCCCACUGGUCUCUGAUCCAUACAGUCAGGAGUUAAUGUAUGGAAGUGCCAUGCUCGUACACUCUACCCGUGAAAGGAGAAAGAGGUGAGGGGCUGCUACCUGGAGGAGGAGCUGCAUCCUGUCCUGAGUCAGAAUCCCCACCUCAGGAUCAAUGCUGAAGAUAAGUCUGAAAGCUGCGUUUCCUUUUGUGUUGGAAUCGCUUUCUCAAACUUACUCAAACAGAAGAAAUACUUGUUAAAAAUAUGGAUUCCCAAGAUCCUCCCAUUGAAAAUCUGAUUUGAAAAUGAACAUGAAGGAUAAUCAGAGAAAGAAGAAGAAAAUUAAAAUUCAAGGACCGUCAUAAAAAUAAGCUAUAUUCAAUAUUAAGCUAUGCCUAUUAUUGUUAUAAGACACAUCCCAUUGAGAUGAAUGUAUUACAAUUUGUGGCAAAGACCAUUGCCGGGUGAUCCACUGGACAUAUCAUUACUAGCAUCUUUUCUGAGUAUAACAUGCAUGCAGAGGAAGGCGAGCCCUGUUAAGUGCACAGCUGGACAACAUUCACCAGGAAUCAGCACUCAGAGAGGGAAACAGGACGGGGUCCGCACCCUGGAAUCCAGCCUCAGGCCACCUGCCAGUCACGACCCCUCCCAAAGACAAUCAACUAUCCUGACUUCUA